GGAGGCCUUAUCUUAAUUAAAGUGUCUGGUUUGCAAUCAGGUGAUGUGCUUUAGAGUAGCACAGGUCUU
rnacentral:tRNA from 1 species